rnacentral:rRNA from 1 species
UACAGGGGGGGCAAGCGUUGCUCGGAAUCACUGGGCGUAAAGCGCACGUAGGCGGACUCUUAAGUCGGUGGUGAAAUCCUGGAGCUCAACUCCAGAACUGCCUUCGAUACUGGGAGUCUUGAGUCCGAGAGAGGUGAGUGGAACUGCGAGUGUAGAGGUGAAAUUCGUAGAUAUUCGGAAGAACACCAGUGGCGAAGGCGGCUCACUGGCCUGGUAUUGACGCUGAGGUGCGAAAGCGUGGGGAGCAAACAGG